rnacentral:misc_RNA from 1 species
AACUUUCGACAACGGAUCUCUUGGUUCUGGCAUCGAUGAAGAACGCAGCGAAAUGCGAUAAGUAAUGUGAAUUGCAGAAUUCAGUGAAUCAUCGAAACUUUGAACGCACAUUGCGCCCGCUGGUAUUCCGGCGGGCAUGCCUGUUCGAGCGUCAUUAUGACCAAUCAAGCUCUGCUUGGCCUUGGGGCCCGCUGUACCGGCGGCCCUUAAAACUAGUGGCGGUGCCGUCUGGCUCUAAUCUUAGUAAUACUUCUCGCUAUAGUGUCUAGGCGUCCACCCGCCAGAACCUCCAACUUUCUUAGGUUGACCUCGGAUCAGGUAGGGAUACCCGCUGAACUUAAGCAUAUCAAUAAGCGGAGGCU